AGUGAACGCUGGCGGUAGGCCUAACACAUGCAAGUCGAACGGCAGCACAGUAAGAGCUUGCUCUUACGGGUGGCGAGUGGCGGACGGGUGAGGAAUACAUCGGAAUCUACUUUUUCGUGGGGGAUAACGUAGGGAAACUUACGCUAAUACCGCAUACGACCUACGGGUGAAAGCAGGGGAUCUUCGGACCUUGCGCGAUUGAAUGAGCCGAUGUCGGAUUAGCUAGUUGGCGGGGUAAAGGCCCACCAAGGCGACGAUCCGUAACUGGUCUGAGAGGAUGAUCAGCCACACUGGAACUGAGACACGGUCCAGGCUCCUACGGGAGGCAGCAGUGGGGAAUAUUGGACAAUGGGCGCAAGCCUGAUCCAGCCAUACCGCGUGGGUGAAGAAGGCCUUCGGGUUGUAAAGCCCUUUUGUUGGGAAAGAAAAGCAGCAGGUUAAUACCCCGCUGUUCUGACGGUACCCAAAGAAUAAGCACCGGCUAACUUCGU
rnacentral:rRNA from 1 species